GCUGUGAAACAAAUGGCAAAUGCUGAAACGAGUAAAAUUGGUGAGGCAAAUUUCGAAUGGUUUGCAGUUUGAAAAAAUUCUUCGUUGAGGAUAGAUCGCUAUUUUUUAGGAGUAAAGCAAAUUCGAACGAGUUUAACGAAUAUUUCUUGUGCUUGAAAGACACAAAACAAAUCGAUCAAAAUGUUCAAGAAUCAUUUGGAAAUGAUUGGGCGCAAUGAGAGCCCCAGCAAGAAGGCCAAAUUCUGGCAAUCCUACAUCAGAUCCCUGAAGGGCUCCGAGGAUAUCCGUGCUCAUGAGGCACCAAGAGCCUCUCGCCCAUACAGCUCGUACCUGGAUUCGCCCACAUACAGGAGCAUCUACGAUGAGCCCGCCACCGCCAACGAGCGUGUGCAGUCAUCUGGUUACAGAUACUUGCCAGUGAGCCGUGAUACCUACGGUUACUCGCCACGUGCCAUCUACGAUCAUCAUUACAGCAGAACUAUUCCAGCUAACUACGACGCAGAGAAGGCCUGGAAUGAUCAUUUGAAGCGCAUGCAAGAAAUUGAGCGCAGAUACCCAUCUCGCUAUGGUCUCUACUUGAGAGACAAGCCACUCACACCAAACUCUCUGGUGCCUUUGGAAUACGAGCCAGAGGAUAAGCUGUUGGCACAACUCAACAAGGACCGACGCUCGGCCUCGCCGUUCCGUCCCGCCCGCACCACUCGCGCCGGCAGCGAGCCCUAUGUGCCAGCACCAGUCUACUGGAAUCGCGAUAGCAGCGUGCCACGUCGUGGACCAUCAGUGUUUGAUCGCGCCACUAGCCUGGCUCCAUUCACGCGACCAAGCUUCCGCGCCAGCUCGUUGGAACCAUUGGAUGAACUCUUUGAAAGUAAGUUGCCCGCUAUCGCUGAGGCUGAGGCAGCCGGUACUGCUGCUUCUAGGCCAAGCAUUUUUGAGCGCGCCGGCUCGCCAAGUCCCACUCCUGUUAAAGCCGGUCGCUGGGGACCUCGCCCCACUGAAGUCGCCUACGAUGCUGAGGGACUUCCAAUCUUCCAUCCACGCAACCGCUUCAGGGAUAUGUUGAGCCCCAGCCCCAACUUGCCCAUCUCAUCGAUCGUGCGCGAUCCCUUCUGGUGGGAUGUCGAUGAUUUGAUGCCCUUCCGUGCCAGCUCGGUGCCCCGUGCCUCGAGCCCCGUGGCCCGUGAUUCGUACUUGUCUCCGGUGAAGAAUCGUUAUCUGUGGUCUAAGCAUCCAGCCAGACCCUUGACACCUGAGGCAGAGGAUUAUUUCUAAAUCAAAGACAAAUUCAAAAAAAAAUUAAUAAAAAAAAAAAAAACAUAAAUCCAAAUCGUUAGCUCUAAUAACAUGCGACGCUAUAUCAUAUAGCACUACUGUAAUUUUUCUGUACUUUAAUUCACAUAAAUUACAUGUAACGAAACGCAAUACAAAACAAAUUGCUCACCGCUCAAUUUUGUAAACGAACGAAAACGAAACUAUACAAGAUCAACCACUACAAUUACAACAACUUCAACAACGAAUGCAUCAAUGGGGUCCCCAAAACAACGACUAGCUUUGGAUUCCACGUCAAGAACAGAAAAUCACUAAAAGUAGCUAAUAUGACGUAGACUCAAAAUCCUCUACAACGAUUGAAUUUUUUCAAAACUGCCAGCCCCAUAACAGCUGGGCUGCCUCCUACUAAAUAUUGCCAACAAGUGCGUACUCCCCGUAGUAAAAAAUAAUAAAAAAAAGAAUGAAACAACAAACAACAUAAUCUACAACUCUCAAUGAAGUUUUUAUUUUAAAUUUUUUAGCUCAUGUCGUAGUAUUAAGUGCAAGUAUAUAAAAAAAAUCGAUUUACAUUUAUUA